UUGUAGUCUGCAGAAGGUGCCUCGGGCGAGAAGCCAGCCUAAGUUCCUUGGAACAGGACGUCACAGAGGGUGAGAAUCCCGUACGUGGCCGGCGGUCGAGCCCGUGUGAGGCCCUUUCGACGAGUCGAGUUGUUUGGGAAUGCAGCUCUAAAUGGGUGGUAAAUUUCAUCUAAAGCUAAAUACCGGCCAGAGACCGAUAGCGCACAAGUAGAGUGAUCGAAAGAUGAAAAGCACUUUGAAAAGAGAGUUAAACAGUACGUGAAAUUGUUGAAAGGGAAGCGCUUGCAACCAGACUCGCACGCGGGGGCUCAGCCUCCCUCCGGGGCGGUGCACUCCCCCGCGAUCGGGCCAGCAUCGGUUCCGGCGGCUCGAUAAAGGCCCCGGGAAUGUAGUUCUCUCCGGGGAAUGUUAUAGCCCGGGGCGAAAUGGGGCCUGCCGGGACCGAGGACCGCGCAUUUUUGCUAGGAUGCUGGCGUAAUGGUUGUCAGCGGCCCGUCUUGGUACGAAAAAACACUCCCUCCCGCCGUGAAAACUUUGCUAACCUCUCGAUAGAAACACGGACCAAGGAGUCAAUUUACGGGGCGAGUGUUAGGGCGUAAAACCCUUGCGCGUAGUGAAAGCAAACGGAGGUGGGAGCCCUCGGGCGCACCAUCGACCGAUCCUGAUGUCUUCGGAUGGAUUUGAGUAAGAGCCUCGUGAAUUGGACCCGAAAGAUGGUGAGCUAUGCGUGGGUAGACUGAAGCCAGAGGAAACUCUGGUGGAGGGUCGCAGCGGUUCUGACGUGCAAAUCGAUCGUCAAACCUGCGUAUAGGGGCGAAAGACUAAUCGAACCAUCUAGUAGCUGGUUCCUGUCGAAGUUUCCCUCAGGAUAGCAGCAACGACCACAGUCUCAUGAGGUAGAGCGAACGAUUAGAGGCCUUGGGGUUGAAACAACCUUAACCUAUUCUCGAACUUCGAAUAUGUGAGAAGUCC
rnacentral:rRNA from 1 species